rnacentral:lncRNA from 1 species
CCUCAACUUCGUUACUGAAAUACAGCUUUUAAUUGGUAGUGAAGCCUGUGUUCUAGUGCGGAGGUAGCUGCCCGGACAAGUUGCUUGCUGUGGGUUUGGACAAGUUACUGUUGCAACAAUUUCCUGAUUGUCUGAGAGGAUAUCAAGGGUGGGGUGCUUGUCUGGUUUGUUUUGGUAGCCUUGAGUGGGGAGGUCUGGAAACGAGUUCCUUGCUGAGAACAGGGAACAUCUGAUUGCAGCAUGGAGUCUGACUUUAUUGAAAACAGAAAAGGUAAUUUUCCCUUCCAGCUUGGAGUGACUGUACAGUGGAUAGCUCUCACUGCACAAGACUUCAGCCUCCCGGCUAUCUUGAGACACGUAACAAACACUAGAAACGCUGCCAGAUAGGUAAGAGAAACUGCUUCGGCCUUUGCCUGCUAAAGAUUUUAGAAGAAGGAAGUCAGUUCCUUAAAAACUUAUUAGAUGUUCUAGGCAAUUAGCCAACCUAUUCAAAGGAACAUAUUGUUCUCCUUACCUACUUCGUGUGCUGUCAGUGGGAAGGUAGCUGCAGUUUCAGGCCUGCGUGUGCUGUGCUGUGCGUGGCUCAUUGUCUGUCCCAACCACCGUACUCUGGGCCGGCACUGGGAUCAAAAGGCCACAGUUUCAAGACUGCUUCUGUGAGAAUAAUCAGUAUCCCCAGGAUUUGAUUCUGUAUCUGAGCAGCUCCCACCUUCAUUAGCUCUGCAGGAAGCUGGGAUGAGGAGGGUGUGAGUUAAGGAAGAUCAUUUGCACCAGCAGAUGGCACAGUCAGCAAGGCCUUGUGCUUCUGAGCUGCUCGGGCAUAUGAGGUAUGGGCAGCUGAUGAAACCCUGCUGCCUCAGCACAUGCUGGGCACUGCGUUAACCCACACUGCUGCUGGUUUUUUUAGCCUGAAAUGCAGAUUUCCAGUGAACUACCAUAACUAAGCCUAAAACCGGUUGGUGCAAGCUUUCUUCAGCUGGUGUUAAGCAUCUUUGCUUACAGUAAUGAGUUUUAUCUUUAAUAAAGAACAGUUUUAUAAUACAGCUGUAGUCUGUGUAAAUGUAUAAAACCCUAUUUAAUAUCUGGGUAAAACUUAGCUUAGUUCAUGAGUAUGAUAACUGAACUGUAUGAUAAUGUUAUCAGGAUGCACAUGCAAUCUCCUUUACAGAAACUGCUUCUUUUGGUAAGUGUGUUUACUGAAAAAGUGGUCAACAUGCACAGUACAAUCAGAAGUAUCUCUGCACUUUCUAAUAGACCACUUAUCUUUAUGCUAGCUUGCAGUUAUCUUUUUAUUGAUGCUAUGUUUAAAUAUUAAGCACCUUUAGGAAAUUCAAAAUGGAACCCAGUGCUUUGGAUGAUUCCUGUUCCAGCAUAAGAGGAUUUUUUGUGUUUAUUUGUAUGCUGAUCAGAACCUGAGAAAAUGGCAAGUAAGAGCAAACCUGAGUUUGUUACUCUGAGGAGACGCUGCUGACCUUCACAGAAGCCUGGCAGCUUUCUGAAGCUGUGACUUGUAAGGUGCGGGCUGCUGCUGGUGGCAUAAUGAUAGGCGGAGGCCUCAACCUGGUGUAAGGUUCAGCCUUGAUGAGCCAUUUGGCAAAAAGUAAGUCUUUUUUCACCACAAGCUCAGCUCUGUACCACAGGCUGUUAUAGCACAACCAGGCUAGCAUGGGUGUGAAAAAUCUCACCUCACAGCUAUAGCAAAGGUCAUGUUGUAUACAUGUCCAGAAGAGGAAUCUGCUGGGACUUCAGCAAGACCAGGCUGACUUCUGUGGACCUCCUCUUAGUUCUCAGCAUCACAGGAACAGCCACCAAAAAUACAGAUGCACUCAGAGGGCUUGGUGGUGAGUGGCAAAAGUAUUCAAGCUCUGAAAUCAGCUCUGAAUUUCCCCAAGGAAGUUUGUUUUCCUGUUUUAAAACCUUCCUGCUAUGCUCGGGAUUCACUCUUUCCCAGUUCCUACAGCUCUGCUUGCAGUAGGGCGGGCUGAAUUGGGUGGCCUCCUUCUUGGUGAUAGAGCAGUUGACAGCUUUAGUUUUUGAGGUGGAUCGUUUUGUUUCUCAGCCUUUUCUGAAGCACUCAAGAGGGCUAUGUAGAUUGAAAACAUGAUGGGCUGAAAUAUGAAGUAAAAGCAUGCCUGGUCUGUUGUUUCACCUCAUAUUCUCCUAGUGUGUCCUGAACUUAUUAUCCUAGAGCGGAAGGGGACGCUUACAGGGCCGGGUGAGCGCAGUGCAGUUCAUGGAGCCUCUGCAGCACAAUGUUUGCUGCCAUGUGGCUGAAUUACAACUCUGGGAAGGCUGCUCGAGGUAAGGCUCAGAUGGAUUAAAGCUGCUCUGCCUGUCCUCGUUUUGAGCUGUGUGGGGGAUGGCUCGCCUGCCGCCUGUGGCACAGUGCCCAAACGCUUGCACUGAUUGUAGCUUUGAGACCGUAACCAAAAUGAUCGUAAGUACGUGCAAUUAGUCACACUAUUUCAUUAAGAUGAUUUCUGUAUUACGUGUUUAUAUUGAUGAUAUUGCCUAGGCAAUAGAAAUGGGUGUAUUUCCUGUCUUGAGAGUAAUUAGAGUCUCACUGUCUAGCGCUCCGCCUCCAGAAGAAAUUAUUCCUUACAGUUCCAAUCAUUUUGUUUACUUAAGCUUCUUUGCUGUUUCUCUGUGCAGUGACACCACUCUGGAGUCUCAUUAACAAAUGUGAGAGUGAAUUUUUAAGUAUCACUCUGGCCAUGGGUAGCAGCAGGCUGUUUGUUAUAGUAGUGCUCAGCUUCGACUGAGCUGUUCCAUUUUAAGGCUUGCUGAUGCUUGAAGUUGUUCCAGGUUAAGCCCAUAUGUGGACACCUUAUUCUGGAAUAGGGACUUCCUGUAAAGCUGAUCCCUCUCUGGAGCAGGGCCAGGUGCUCUUCUGGAGUUAGAGUGCCUGCCUGUGGGGUUCAGCAGGAGCCUACAGGUGGUCUGAUGAACAGAAGUGCCUCAUUUGAAGUUCUUAGAAAGCCAUUGCCACUGAGUUAAUGCUUAGGAAAAUUGGAGCUCCGUGUGAGCUGCUAUCCUCGCAGCACGGCUCCUCACCCAGCGCAGCCGGCAGCCAUUGGAGCUCUGCUCAUCUUACGGUAUGCAGUAUGGAGCCUUGAGGAGCAAGUGACUUGGAAUAGGAAAACAAGUGCCUGGCUCGCUUUUGUCUGGAUAGAGACAAUUGUUGUGCCCCAAAGGAAGGAAGAAAGCAGCUGAGAGCAGAGCAUCCUGCUCAGGGAGUAGAAAGCCAGUGCCUGGCUCCGUGAUGAACAGCUCUGAAGGAAGGAGCAUUACCCAGAGGGGAGGCUGAGAGCAGAGCUGGUGCCAGGCUCCAGACACACAGACCAGCUGAUGGCUCUGUGGCAGUGUGGGGACUGGGCAGGGUGUUCUGAGAGGUGAGUCUGGCUUCAGGACAAUGGGCACUGCCUGAUGAUGUGAGUUUGGGGCUGUGUGUUGCCUGCAGGUGCCCCUAUGGGGUGUGAGGCUGCCCUAUAGCCCAGUGAGCAGCAGGGCUGUUUGUCCCACGCCAUCAUGCUUCCCCAUCCAAGGCAGCUGUGGUGGUUUACCUCCCGUCUCUCUGGGCACAAGUUCAGCAUCGUGCCUUUUGGCUCCCAGGAGAAGGUACAGAGGGAUCCUCUGCUCCCUGCAGAGUCUGCGCCAGCUGUCCCACAUCCCUUUCUGCAAUAAAAGAGGAGUGCUUGACUCUUAGUUCUGAGAAAUUGGAUAGCAUUUGUAGUAGUGUUUCUAAGGUCACCCCUGUCCUGCUGCCACUGUAUUUCCUGGAAUCUUUAGUAGCACGUGGCUUGCUUUGAAGACAAAAUGAUGGCAAGCUGGAGUGUAAAUACUUCCUUAAUCCUAUAGAUAGAGCUUGGUACUGUCCCAGGCGAGUGAGUGCUGUAGGAGAUUCCGCAGAACCAGGGUGCAGCCGAAGAGAUGCCAUUGAGUGUUUGAUGGGAGAGUCCGGGGGCAAACAAACCUAGAGAGAAAACUUGGGGUGGAGCAGGUGCUGCUGCAGGCUUGUGGUGGGUCUGAAGGUCUGCUAACCAACAGGAACAGACUGGGACGUGAGGCUUUGAUGGUUAGUGUUAAUUUGCUUAAGUAAGAAACUUGUCCUUAAACAAGAAGCCCAAAGCCGUGUGAUUGUUAGCUUCUGUUUUAUGUAGGUCUCCUGGGAACUUUCCCUUUAGCUCACAGACCUCUGUCUGACCACAAGGACUCACCAUUUCUUUAAAUAUUGACUACAUCAUGUGAUAGUGGGAUUUGUGUGAGAUAAUGGCACUGAAUCACAGGGCUGAUACACGGGCUUCCAGCAGAUUACAGAACCUUGUCAGCAGAGACAGAUCUUCAGGGACCUGAGAGUCUUACACAGAGUAUUUUUUGCUAAGACAUCUGGAAGGGCAGGCAAGGAGGGGGAGCUGGCCAUUAGGUACUUCCAUCAGGCCAUGGAUGGCUGUAUGGUGUGGCUGAUAAAAGCCAUGAGCUUCACCAACCUGAGCCCUGACAACAUGUGUCCUUCUUGGAUCAUCACAGUUGAGCCCACUGGGAAGAUGGCUAUGCAGAAGAGUGAAGGAGCUUUCAGUUUUCAUAACCGACUGCC